rnacentral:rRNA from 1 species
UACGUAGGGGGCAAGCGUUGUCCGGAUUUAUUGGGCGUAAAGAGCGUGUAGGCGGCUUUACAGGUCCGUUGUGAAAACUCGAGGCUCAACCUCGAGACGCCGGUGGAAACCGUAAGGCUAGAGUCCGGAAGAGGAGAGUGGAAUUCCUGGUGUAGCGGUGAAAUGCGCAGAUAUCAGGAGGAACACCCGUGGCGAAAGCGGCUCUCUGGGACGGUACUGACGCUGAGACGCAAAAGCGUGGGGAGCAAACAGG